CAGUAGCCACGGUAAUACGUAGGGUGCAAGCGUUAAUCGGAAUUACUGGGCGUAAAGCGUGCGCAGGCGGUUAUAUAAGACAGAUGUGAAAUCCCCGGGCUCAACCUGGGAACUGCAUUUGUGACUGUAUAGCUAGAGUACGGCAGAGGGUGAUGGAAUUCCGCGUGUAGCAGUGAAAUGCGUAGAUAUGCGGAGGAACACCGAUGGCGAAGGCAAUCCCCUGGGCCUGUACUGACGCUCAUGCACGAAAGCGUGGGGAGCAAACAGGAUUAGAUACCCCGGUAGUCCCUGUCUCUUAUAC
rnacentral:rRNA from 1 species